rnacentral:rRNA from 1 species
UACAGAGGGGGCAAGCGUUGUUCGGAAUUACUGGGCGUAAAGGGCGCGUAGGCGGCCUGUUAAGUCGAACGUGAAAUCCCCGGGCUCAACCCGGGAACUGCGUCCGAUACUGGCAGGCUUGAAUUCGGGAGAGGGAUGCGGAAUUCCAGGUGUAGCGGUGAAAUGCGUAGAUAUCUGGAGGAAUACCGGUGGCGAAGGCGGCAUCCUGGACCGACAUUGACGCUGAGGAGCGAAAGCUAGGGGAGCAAACGGG